rnacentral:rRNA from 1 species
CCCGGGGGAGGCAGCAGUGGGGAAUAUUGGACAAUGGGCGAAAGCCUGAUCCAGCCAUGCCGCGUGUGUGAAGAAGGCCUUCGGGUUGUAAAGCACUUUCAGUGGGGAAGAAAGCCUUGGGGCUAAUACCCUCGAGGAAGGACAUCACCCACAGAAGAAGCACCGGCUAACUCCGUGCCAGCAGCCGCGGUAAUACGGAGGGUGCGAGCGUUAAUCGGAAUUACUGGGCGUAAAGCGCGCGUAGGCGGUCUGAUAAGCCGGUUGUGAAAGCCCCGGGCUCAACCUGGGAACGGCAUCCGGAACUGUCAGGCUAGAGUGCAGGAGAGGAAGGUAGAAUUCCCGGUGUAGCAGUGAAAUGCGUAGAGAUCGGGAGGAAUACCAGUGGCGAAGGCGGCCUUCUGGACUGACACUGACGCUGAGGUGCGAAAGCGUGGGUAGCAAACAGGAUUAGAUACCCCAGUAGUC